UACAGAGGGUGCAAGCGUUAAUCGGAAUUACUGGGCGUAAAGCGCGCGUAGGUGGUUUGUUAAGUUGGAUGUGAAAUCCCCCGGGCUCAACCUGGGAACUGCAUCCAAAACUGGCAAGCUAGAGUAUGGUAGAGGGUGGUGGAAUUUCCUGUGUAGCGGUGAAAUGCGUAGAUAUAGGAAGGAACACCAGUGGCGAAGGCGACCACCUGGACUGAUACUGACACUGAGGUGCGAAAGCGUGG
rnacentral:rRNA from 1 species